GAACCGGAGGAGUCUCUUAAGCUUGCGUGUUCCCGGCUGCAGUGGCUGCCUUGCGGUAUGGGACGAGCGGGGCCCGAGCGGGCGGAAAUUUGAGAGUGUCAUGAGCAGUCUCUUAGUGCCCUUCAUAAGGGCAGUAUCUGUGUUUGAAAUAAGUUGAACCUUCAGCAGUUGGACUCACAUAGAGCAUUGUCUCCUCCACUGAGGUCCAUUCUGAAACAAGGAUUCUCCUUGGAACUCCAGGGACAGAACUUCCUGUAAACAUCUGGACUGUCCCCCCUGUGUGACCCAGAUGAAAAAAGAUGACCAAGGGCUUUCAGCCUCACUUAUGGGAGAGAGUGGAGUUGGGGGUAAGAGGAGUCCAAACAGAGAUUCUUAUAAUUUUCUGCAAAGAGGAAGCUUUGGAAACUGACUAAGAAUCUGUGUAAACAUAGUGAGUAAACAUGCAGACCAUUUCUCAGAACAAAAUGUGUGGACAGGGUUCCUCUGUUCUGUGGAUCCAAAGUGCCUCAUGAUGCUAAGGCAAGGUGGAUGGUGGAGACUUAGAAUGAACACAGACAUUUUCCAGGGGAAUAUUUUAACUUCCAGCCAAUCCUUUUCUUUUUAGGAUUUAACAUCAAUAUGAUCAUUUUCACUUUACAGAUGAAUGAAUUCAGGUGCAGACAUUGUGGCUCUCAGGUUUGCCCCAUGCAUCUGUGCUAAAGCCGGGGGAUGGCCCUCACCUCUCAGCAUUACCAAAUGAGCUUUCAGGCUAAUGCACUCUGAACUGGCAUCGUCUCCCAGUUGUGAGUGCUUUGAAAUAAAACAGAAGCUAUGCUACAGCUGAACAAUUCAAAUCAUUGGCAGAAAGUGUGGUAGGUAAAUGGCACUAUGAAAAAUGAAAAGCAUCUUGUUUCCUGUGAACUAAAAAUGGAUAGGUCCAAUUAUUGCCCCUUCCACACAUGAAGACUGCACAAAGUUAGUUAAUUAUAAAUAAUUCAUCCAACCAUAGAAGGGAUGAGCUAUAUGUUAUAUUACUGAGCUUUAAAAAUCUUUAUGAGUGUAGCAAGAGACACAUAUACCAACAGCUGCUAAAUUCAGAAUCCUGGGGCAGUAUCUUAUUUUAAUAUAAGGGAAGAACACACAGUCUAUCGCUCUAGGGAUUUCCUGCUAUAUAAAAAGACCUUAAAUCUACAUGAGAUUUUACUCGUGAUUUCAAAGCACUUAAUAAAAAGCUGUUUUGUUUUGUUUUUUAAUUUGAAUAUCUUUUAACUCUACCCCCAGCCACACUAUUUACAACACAGAUAAUGCUUUCUGGACUAGAUUGCCCAAGGCAGAGGCUUCCUUUUUUCCUCCUGCCUAUUUCCUUCUUUACUUUUUUCUUUUCUUUUCUUUUCUCAUCCUUUCUUUUGUUAAAUUCUUCAACACCUAGCUCAGAGCCCAGCACUUUGUGUUGUGUGUGCAUUGACCGUUGAGCAUGAAUGAUCACCCUCACUGCCAGAAGAGUAAAAAGUCAUAAACAUCGGAGUGGGUUGCUGAGCUCUGAGCAGAAUCAGAAGCUCUAAUUCUCCCAGUGGCUCUGCGGAACUUCUGCCUACUGCACAAUCAGGAGUUGGAGCUGUGUCUUGGGGUGACUUAAUUCAAGUAAAACCUCAGACUGGGAUGUCAGCCAGCAUUCUAAGGAGAACUUCUGUAAGAAUGUUAUGUCUUAAAAUACGUAAAUUCAAGUUCUGAGCCUUAGAACAUAAGGCAAAUAGUACCUUGCCUUACAGAAGGAUAAAGUACAAGCAAUAAAACAAGCCAAGUUGCUGCCUAAAGUCCCUUGACUGAAAUCAUAUUUGUCCAUGAUCUCUUAUUUUGGUGGACCUUUAAUAACUGGGACAAGGAUAUUGAAGAACUAAUUGCUGUGCUUUCAGCAACUGACUGUGCAUGGGUCUGCAAGGCAUGCAACCCAUGCUUGUGCAGAACUUGGAAACUUGAAUCUGGGGAAGACUUAGUUUUUCAAACUCUUGCCAUAGCCCUUCCUUGAUAGGGUUUUACCUAUGAGAGCUCAGAUGCAGAUUUCUUGAGCCACUUAAUCAAGGCCAGAUGUAUACUCUAUUCAUCCACUAGCACUGUUAGGAUGAGUUUUGCCCCAGAGUUUGGGGAGAGAUAAGCAGCUGUGAUUGUACAGAAACAGACACCAAACUUAAGCUGAAAAUUUUACUGCACAAUUGGCCAGCAGUAGUAGGCCACACCAAUAAUAAAGACAAAACCACCAAUUUAAAGCAGCAGUAGAAUCUGGGAAAUGCUCUUUCUGCAAUUGCUUUGAAUACAAAACAUCUCAGAAUUACAGGGAUUUUGCCUGCAGAGUUACUAAUGAAGAUGUGGCUGGCAGUGUCCCUCGAGUUUGUUUAUCCAGCUGUACAAGAGUCUGUAUGACAGUAACUGGAUUUAUAAAAAUUUAAAAAUACCAAAGCCAACUUCUGAAGAAAGAAGUUUCCCCUAAGUCCACUAAAACCUUGUAUUUAUAAAUGAGAAGCUUUAUUGCUACCACAUCUGCUUAUGUAUAGGUGUGCUUUUACUUGAAAGAAAAUUGUAGACAAGGUGAAACUUAAAAGGGGAGAACAAGAUGGGCCCUUCUUCUUCCUCCCCCUCCCUGUACCAGAGGUCAACUAUGGGGUGGGGGAUAAUUUUGCCCCUCAGGGGACAUUUGGCAGGGUCUGUAAUUUUGAUUUUGAUUGUUACAUUGUGGGAUGAGGAACUGCUGGCAUCUAGAGGCCUGGAACACUCUUGAGCAUCCUAGACUGCACUAGACUUCACUAGACUGCCCCUAACCCCAAACAAAGAAUUUCCAGCCCAGAAUGUCAGUACUACAUUCUGCCCUAGCCCACUGACUCCAAAAAUUGAGUAUGUGCAAAUUGUUGGUAGUUGUUUAAAUCAGAUCUUGAAUUCUCCCCUGGUUUUUCAAUCAGCUUUUGGCCAUUAGUUCCAGAGACAGCUGUUACCAGAUUUGUUCACACAGGGCCUUCUGUUUAGCAGAUCUUGGGUCAUUUAUCUUCCCUUGACCAAAGACACCACUAAACCUAGCUAUUUCACCUCAAAUGAAAGCCUAGGCUAGGUUUCCAGGUACAACUGGCAAUAAAUCAAUGACUACAAAACAGUAAGGGGAAAAUGUGACUUUAGGGUUAUCAGAAAUCCCCUGCCAAUGUUAAAAAAAUCAUAACCCUUCACAAACACACAAACCCCUCAAACGUUUUUUUUAAUUAGCUGAGUUUUUUUCCCUUUAGGACAAUGUUUUUCAAAUUAAAAUCCUGAACCCUCCAGUAUCAGAAAGACCAAGGUGUUAUUAAAAAUGUCAGUUUCUCAAAUCUGUCCGAACCCUCUGGAUUGAGAAUUCUCGAGUGUAUGAAUUUGGUAAUCUCCGCCUUUAAAAUGCACCUGAGGUACACACCAAAUUUUGAGUUACUGUUCUAAGGCAAGGAUUCUCAUUCUUUUCUUCCCUACACAACUGUGUGUGUGACUUUGGGGGUCUCUUUGGAUGUGUACCCAAAACAUCCCCAGGCUGACAGGAGCACAGAGACCAACGGGAUAGAAGUUGGUGUUGUAGAAUAACCCAGAGACAUGUGGGUAACUAUUUCACAGCUAGUUUAAUUAUUUUAUAUGCUAAUUGUUUAUUCACACCUGAGAGGGUGAGGCAAAUAGUAUUUCUAAAACAAAAAGGAAAGAAAAGACAAUCUAGUAACGGUGGAACUUGUAUUACAUGUUUUGGGGGCAAAUUGAUUUAAGUGAAAGGUAGCAGAGAAGUUUGUACUGGGGCCUUGAGUGGCCAACUGCAAUUCUUUAUGGAUUCCCCAGAAAGCAGCUGGGAGCUGGGAGCAGAUGUGACAGGCCAUCCCU
rnacentral:lncRNA from 1 species